CCUACUGGCCGAUCCCUCCCCCAUCCCGGCAGGACCGUGACCACCAGAGCAUGAGCAGCUGCCUGAGGGUUAAGCCCCUGGAGAUGCAGCGACGCCUGGAGGGGAAACGCCAGGAGCUGCUGGAGCGCUGCCGGGCGGGAGCUGCAGGGCGAGGACCCCCAGAAACAGGUGGCACUGGAGGAGCUGAAGAAGGAGCUGGACAAGCAGAUGGCAGAGUUCCUGCCGCGAUAUGAACAGCACUUUAAAAUGGCAGCGAUGAUAGAGAAGGAAAACAGAAAAGCAGUAGAAGCCUCCAGGAGGAAAUAUGAACAAUUUGUGCAGCAGCUGGACCGUGACCACCAGAGCAUGCGCCGCUGCCUGAGUGUGAAGCCUGCGGAAAUGCAGCGACGCCAGGAGGGGAAACGUCAGGAGCUGCUGGAGCGCUGCCAGGGGGAGCUGCGGGGCGAGGAUCCCCAGAAAGAGGCGGCCCUGGAGGAGCUGAAGGAGGAGCUGGACAGGCACAUGGACGAGUUCCUGACGGCCUAUGGGCAGCCCUUUAAAGUGAAAAAGGCCGAGUGGUUGGGCCUGGCCAUGGGUCGGGGGGUGGUUCCUGGCAGUGGUGGGUGCGGGUAUCAGAGUAGGCAUCAGGGCGAGUGUAGUUGUAGUGGGGCUGGAGGAAGCAGUGGCCGUUGGGGUUCUGGCUGGGGGCUUUGGCCUGAUGGGGGGGGAGGGUUGGGCAGCUGGGUGGGCCCCAGUUUGGAUGGUAGGUGGACUCGAGCAAGACAGGCACCAACACCCUAGAUCAGGGGGAUGAGUGGGAGAGCAGGGCAGGAUGUUCAGAUCAGGAGCCCCUUCUGUGGAGGGACACACAGCGGGAAGGAACCAUCACACCUCACUCUGGUAAAGGGUCUGUGCCAGCCCUCAGCACUGGGAACCUCUGUAUGCAAGGGGAUAGAUAGGUAGAUAGAUAGAUAGAUGGGGCGUGUGGGGAUAGAGAGAUAGAUAGAUUGAUAGAUAGAUAGGGUGUAUGGGAAUAGAUAGAUUAGAUAGAUGAGGGGGUGGAUGGGGGUAGAUAGGUAGAUGAGAAGGUUGUGUGGGGAUAGAUAGAUAGAUAGUUAGAUAGAUAUGAGGGGGUGUAGGGGGAUA
ensembl:lncRNA